AGGGGAGGCUGGAUCCCGGGCUGUGUCCCGGCGCCCUGUGCCCCAGUCUGUGCUGUUGGAUUCGCGCUCCCGCCCGCAGCCCCCU
rnacentral:pre_miRNA from 1 species